rnacentral:rRNA from 1 species
UACGAAGGGGGCUAGCGUUGUUCGGAAUUACUGGGCGUAAAGCGCACGUAGGCGGACAUUUAAGUCCGGGGUGAAAUCCCGGGGCUCAACCCCGGAACUGCCUUUGAUACUGGGUGUCUUGAGUGUGGAAGAGGUGAGUGGAAUUGCGAGUGUAGAGGUGAAAUUCGUAGAUAUUCGCAGGAACACCAGUGGCGAAGGCGGCUCACUGGUCCACAACUGACGCUGAGGUGCGAAAGCGUGGGGAGCAAACAGG